UGCAGUUUUAUUGAAAAAAGAUUUUAAUAAAGAAUGAAUCAUGACACAUACGAAGUAAAACGUUUGUUGACGAAUUUGGUUUAAAAUGCAAUAGGGAUGAUUCCUCUGGGAUUUAAGAUAUUGGAAUUGCGUGGAAAUUGUAUUUUCAAGACGGAAUCCCAGUUACAACAAACGAAAACAUCAAAUAUCUUGCAUAGCUAGGGAGGGAGGCAAGAUGUGGUGGAUCGCAAUUGGAGUAAUCGUCUUUUCGCUACUUGUUGUCAGUCUUAUGAUUGCUUACACAGUGCUCUAUUGGAGACGACGUAAGGCGGCGUUUGUUCUUUCCCAGAAUAUGAAACACGACCAGAAAUAUAUUCUAACGCCAUCACGUCGUGUCAAACAAGAUCCCAGCGAUGGUAUUCCGUACACCUCAAACGAACCUGUGAAUAUACAACCUCAUUCGAAAAUACUGCAGUCUAUGGACGUUUCGAUGCUCACAGAUGAAAAUCUCAAUAACAACUCUGGUCGUCAAGCAUAUCCUGACUAUCAAAUCCCGUUGAUCAGCCACUACGAAGCCAACAGCAAAAAUCAAACGAGAAAAAAAUCGGGCAAGCGGAAGAAACG